ACGGAAGGCAGCAGUGAGGAAUAUUGGUCAAUGGACGGAAGUCUGAACCAGCCAUGCCGCGUGAGGGACGACGGCCCUAUGGGUUGUAAACCUCUUUUGCCGCAGAGUAAUAAGGGUCCUGCGGGGCCCGAUGAGAGUAUGCGGCGAAUAAGCAUCGGCUAACUCCGUGCCAGCAGCCGCGGUAAUACGGAGGAUGCAAGCGUUAUCCGGAUUUAUUGGGUUUAAAGGGUGCGCAGGCGGCACGUUAAGUCAGCGGUGAAAUGUCGGGGCUCAACCCGGGCACUGCCGUUGAAACUGGCGAGCUUGAGUACGGAUGAAGUCGGCGGAAUGUGAUGUGUAGCGGUGAAAUGCUUAGAUAUGUCACAGAACACCGAUUGCGAAGGCAGCUGACUAAUCCGCAACUGACGCUCAGGCACGAAAGCGUGGGGAUCGAACAGGAUUAGAUACCCUGGUA
rnacentral:rRNA from 1 species